rnacentral:rRNA from 1 species
CCUACGGGAGGCAGCAGUGAGGAAUAUUGGUCAAUGGCCGUAAGGCUGAACCAGCCAAGUAGCGUGAGGGAAGACUGCCCUAUGGGUUGUAAACCUCUUUUAUGCGGGGAUAAAGGUGUCCACGUGUGGAUGUUUGCAGGUACCGCAUGAAUAAGGACCGGCUAAUUCCGUGCCAGAAGCCGCGGUAAUACGGAAGGUCCGGGCGUUAUCCGGAUUUAUUGGGUUUAAAGGGAGCGUAGGCCGGUCUUUAAGCGUGCCGUGAAAUUUUGUGGCUCAACCAUGAGAGUGCGGCGCGAACUGGAUACCUUGAGUGCGCGGAAGGCAGGCGGAAUUCGUGGUGUAGCGGUGAAAUACUUAGAUAUCACGAAGAACCCCGAUUGCGAAGGCAGCUUGCCGCAGCGUUACUGACGCUGAAGCUCGAAAGCGCGGGUAUCGAACAGGAUUAGAUACCCGAGUAGUC